rnacentral:rRNA from 1 species
AAACCAGCUCUUCAAGUGGUCGGGACUAUUAUUGGGCUUAAAGUGUCCGUAGCCGGUUUAGUAAGUUCCUGGUUAAAUCAAAUGGCUUAACUGUUUGUUUGCUAGGAAUACUACUAUACUAGGGGGCGGGAGAGGUCUGAGGUACUCCAGGGGUAGCGGUGAAAUGCUAUAAUCCUUGGGGGACCACCAGUGGCGAAGGCGUCAGACUGGAACGCGCCCGACGGUGAGGGACGAAAGCCAGGGGAGCGAACCGGAUUAGAUACCCGGGUAGUCCUGGCUGUAAACGAUGCGUGCUAGGUGUUGGUAUGGCUAUGAGCCGUAUCAGUGCCGUAGAGAAACCGUUAAGCGCGCCGCCUGGGGAGUACGGUCGCAAGACUGAA